GGUUAGGUUAAAUUUGAUAAUGAUUGAUGUUGGACUAGGCUAUAUUAUGUUAAAUUAGGUUAGGUUAGGUAAUGGUUGACGCUGUACUAGGCCAUGUUAGGUUAAAUUUGAUAAUGAUUGAUGUUGGACUAGGCUAUAUUAUGUUAAAUUAGGUUAGGUAAUGGUUAACACUGGACUAGGCUAUGUUAGGUUACGUUUGGUUAAAUUUGAUAAUGGUUGAUGUUGGACUAGGCUAUGUUAGGUUAAAUUAGGUUAGGUAAUGGUUAACACUGGACUAGGCUAUGUUAGGUUACGUUUGGUUAAAUUUGAUAAUGGUUGAUGUUGGACUAGGCCAUGUUAUGUUAUGUUAGGUUAAAUUUGAUAAUGAUUGAUGUUGGACUAGGCUAUGUUAUGUUAAAUUAGGCUAGGUUAGGUAAUGAUUGACACUGAACUAGGCUAUGUUAGGUUAGGUUAGGUUACAUUUUAAGAUGAUGAUGUUGGACUGGGCUAUAUUAUGCUAAAUUAGGUUAGGUUAUGGUUGACACUGUACUAGGCUAUGUUAGGUUAGGUUAGGUUACAUUUUAAGAUGAUGAUGUUGGACUGGGCUAUAUUAUGCUAAAUUAGGUUAGGUUAUGGUUGACACUGUACUAGGCCAUGUUAGGUUAGGUUAUGUUUGGUGAUAACUGAUACGAGAGCAAGAGUUCCCAUCCAUUGUUUACUCAUUACUCCAUUUUCCACACCUCCCUUCACUCAUUACCCCUCACUGCUCAUGCUUCCGCAAUUAUAUUUUAGCACCCAUACUUUGAAACUUAUUAACCUAGUAGCAGCAGGGAUCAGGUUUCUUAAUGGUCCCUCUAAGUGAGAAAAAAGAGAAAAAAUCAUCACUCACACAAACCAUUUCAUAAUAUAUAUCAAAGCAUUUGUGAUCAUUUUAUGCAUCAUCUAUUUUGGGGGGUUUAUAUCAUGGCACAAAUUUGGCCCGUCGCUGCUACACGGUAAAGCCACAAAUUUGGCCUGUCGCUGCUACACUGUAAAGCCACAAAUUUGGCCUGUCGCUGCUACACGGUAAAGCCACAAAUUUGGCCCGUCGCUGCUGCUCUGCAAAGCCACAAAUUUGGCCUGUCACUGCUACACGGUAAAGCCACAAAUUUGGCCCGUCGCUGCCACACGUUAAAGCCACAAAUUUGGCCUGUCGCUGCUACACGGUAAAGCCACAAAUUUGGUCCGUCGCUGCUACACGGUAAAGCCACAAAUUUAGCCACUGCUACAUGGUAAAGCCACAAAUUUGGUCCGUCACUGCUACACUGUAAAGCCACAAAUUUGGCCUGUCGCUGCUACACUGUAAAGCCACAAAUUUGUCCCGUUGCUGCUACACGGUAAAGCCACAAAUUUGGCCCAUCGCUGCUACACGGUAAAGCCACAAAUUUGGCCUGUCGCUGCUACUGGGUUGAUAAAUUUGUAUGUGGUAGAUUAAGCAGAGGUAAAUAGCUCGAGUAAAAAAAGGACAAAAGGUCAUAUUCAGCCUGUUCUAAUUUAAUGGCUAAUGCAAUGGGUAUGAUUUUACUUUUUCUUUUUUGGGGAGUUAUUUCAUCACACGAAAGUCAUCACAGCCAAGAAUUAAUAAAGUUUUCCAAGUCACAGCAGAACAAACUCGCAACAUAAUUAAGAGUUUCAUAUAGUAGAAGUUAGAUAAACUCAUUGACGGGCCUGACACGUAGUAAAUCAGUAUUCCCGGGAGCUGCCGUGUGUUGUGUGACCGACCUUGUGUGUCAUUGUGCAAAAGCAAGAACUAUUUAAUGAAAACAAGGAGUCCGGAGGUAUUGCAUGCUGAAAUUAUUAAUGAAGUUUCUCAAUCCAGAGUUAUUGCAAGCAAGGAUUGGUGAAACUACCACUCAGUGUCAUUACAAGUAAGAUAGCCAGUGUCUGGAGAGAGAGAUAAAGAGGAGAGGAGAGAAGAGAAGAGGAGAGGAGAGAUGGUGUGCCCAGACUCCAGCAUCACAGUUUCAAUUAUUGGAGAUUAGAUAGACUUGUGGAUGGAAAUAACAUGUAGUAAAUGGCUAUUCUCAGGGGCUGCCAUGUGUGUUGCAAAACCAAAAA